rnacentral:lncRNA from 1 species
CUCUAUUCAUUUUACAUGUCAAGACCCUUAUGUAGACAACAAAUACAACAUUAGUCCACCUAAAAACCAUUUCCCAAUAAUUUUCUUUACUUAACCGACUAUGUAAAAAAGGAACGAUACAUUCUCUUUAACCCUUUACAUCCAAGUUUUCACCUAAAUCUAUUUGGUCCUCGUGCUUAACAAAAUAUGGUUGAAUGCCCUCUUUGGCUAAUCUUAGCUCCACCCCUACCAAUUGUACAUCAUAUUACAAUGCAAAAAUGUUAUGAUAGGCAAGGUAUUAAUCGACAACAAGUACUGAUCAACAUUGAAUGUGUUACUAAGACCAUGUUGAUGAAUCACAUAUGAGGCCAAUUACCAUAAUGACAAGGGUGUAUGAUGGCUCAUUAAGAUAGAUAAUCAGGACCCUGGAAGUAGAGCUGUAUAUGAGGAUGCAAGUGUUCUUGGUGACAUUACAAGGACAUUCAUCCUUCCUAUAGUAUAUUAUUGGAAAUGCUACUGCUAGAUGAGAGAAAAGAAAAGAUGGGCAUCCCUUUCAAAGUGACAGUCAAGGAAAUAAAAUGGUGUGGGGGGAAGCUUGUUUUGGCCGAGAGAUGGAUUUUUUUAGCCGUCCCUAGGAGGAGAUUGUGACUCCAUGGGUUUUAUAUGCUCUAUAACUAAUUUCUUCUUUUUUUUGCUCAUGCUCCUCUAGAGUCUCUCUUCUCCUCUCUCACUAAAUUUCUGCCCCUCAUCUCUCUAAAUUUC